GAAGCGAGACGGAGACGUUAAGCGAAACCCAAAAAAACGUAAGUCUCAGUUCGGAUUGAAGGCUGAAAUUCGCCUUCAUGAAGCCGGAAUUGCUAGUAAUGGCAGGUCAGCAUACUGCCGUGAAUACGUUCCCGGGCCUUGUACACACCGCCCGUCACACCAUGAGAGUUGGGAAUACCCGAAGCCUGUGAGCUAACGUAAGAGGCAGCAGUCGAAGGUAGAGUCAAUGAUUGGGGUGAAGUCGUAACAAGGUACC
rnacentral:rRNA from 1 species